UCCAGACUCCUACGGGAGGCAGCAGUGGGGAAUAUUGGGCAAUGGAGGAAACUCUGACCCAGCAACGCCGCGUGAAUGAUGAAGGUCUUCGGAUUGUAAAGUUCUUUUCUAAGGGAAGAAGAAAGUGACGGUACCUUAGGAAUAAGCCUCGGCUAACUACGUGCCAGCAGCCGCGGUAAUACGUAGGGGGCAAGCGUUAUCCGGAUUUACUGGGUGUAAAGGGAGCGUAGACGGCAGUGCAAGUCCGGAGUGAAAGCCCGGGGCUCAACCCUGGGACUGCUCUGGAAACUGUAAAGCUGGAGUGCGGGAGGGGCAGGCGGAAUUCCUGGUGUAGCGGUGAAAUGCGUAGAUAUCAGGAGGAACACCGGCGGCGAAGGCGGCCUGCUGGACCGUAACUGACGUUGAGGCUCGAAAGCGUGGGGAGCAAACAGGAUUAGAUACCCGCGUA
rnacentral:rRNA from 1 species